UACGGGGGGUGCAAGCGUUAUCCGGAUUCACUGGGUUUAAAGGGUGCGUAGGCGGUUGUUUAAGUCAGUGGUGAAAUCCUGUAGCUCAACUACAGAACCGCCAUUGAUACUGGAUGACUUGAGUGAAGAAGAGGUAAGCGGAAUUUAUGGUGUAGCGGUGAAAUGCACAGAUACCAUAAGGAACUCCAAAAGCGAAGGCAGCUUACUGGUCUUCUACUGACGCUGAGGCACGAAAGCGUGGGGAGCAAACAGG
rnacentral:misc_RNA from 1 species